UAAAUUUUUUCAUAUAAAAUGAAGAGAGAAUUUAUUUUUUAUAUAUCUCUCAAUUUUUUGUGAUAAAUAUGCAAUCAAAGUCCUUAAAAGAAGAAAGCCAGCUGGCUUAUAGCUAGUAUCUGAAUGAAAUUCUUACCGGCCAGAAUCUACAACAAAGAACUUGUACAAAUAUGUAAUGAAAACAUCUAAUUAAACAUAUCUCGAUCGAUAACUUCGUACAUGCACACCCUCGUUAAUUUCCGGUUUCCAAAAGCAAAAGGAGAAAACAAAAAGAGUCCGUAAUUAUGAUAAUGAAUUCAUCUGUAGGAUUUGAGAAUGCUCCCGCAGAAACUGCAUAUGAUAGCCUUCCAUGACUUCCAAUAUAAGGGGAUGUAGCAAAACCUAGUUGAGGUUUGCAUGUCGGCCACCGUUGCGCCGUGGCGGCACCGCGAACACGUCCCCGCUGCCGGCUUGCUCCGCCGUACGACGCUCUUCUGAUCCACCAGGAAACAGAAGCAAACCAUCAACUCUCUUCUUCUCUUAAUUAAGCUUUCCGAUCAGAAUAUAUAGCAUCACACAAGGGAGAUAUAUAUCGAUAGGGUUGUGAGCAUCAGCUUUGUGAAUACCAAAACACAAGCAUACUAAUAAUUUUAUCUCAAAUGAUGCAAUAGCCUAUAUAUAUAUAUAGAUAGAUAUUUGGCGUAUUGAUUCUAGUAUUAAUACAGUUCUAAACACCAUGAUGAGCGUAUGAUUUUUUUGAUUAGGACUGUGGUAGUCUGCCUAUUUAUUUGCCAUUUGGCUUAUAAAAGAAAC
rnacentral:lncRNA from 1 species